UCCCGCUGAGUGUUGUCUCGGUUUUUUCCCUUUUAGCCUUCUGACACCCCGCAGAAUUCGGUGCCUGCAGGCUAAAAGGGAAAACAACCAAGCCGAUGCUUGGCGGGA